AGAAUGAACCGGCGAGUUACGAUUUGAUGCAAGGUUAAGCAGUAAAUGUGGAGCCGUAGCGAAAGCGAGUCUGAAUAGGGCGUUUAGUAUUUGGUCGUAGACCCGAAACCAGGUGAUCUACCCUUGGUCAGGUUGAAGUUCAGGUAACACUGAAUGGAGGACCGAACCGACUUACGUUGAAAAGUGAGCGGAUGAACUGAGGGUAGCGGAGAAAUUCCAAUCGAACCUGGAGAUAGCUGGUUCUCUCCGAAAUAGCUUUAGGGCUAGCCUCAAGUGAUGAUUAUUGGAGGUAGAGCACUGUUUGGACGAGGGGCCCCUCUCGGGUUACCGAAUUCAGACAAACUCCGAAUGCCAAUUAAUUUAACUUGGGAGUCAGAACAUGGGUGAUAAGGUCCGUGUUCGAAAGGGAAACAGCCCAGACCACCAGCUAAGGUCCCAAAAUAUAUGUUAAGUGGAAAAGGAUGUGGCGUUGCCCAGACAACUAGGAUGUUGGCUUAGAAGCAGCCAUCAUUUAAAGAGUGCGUAAUAGCUCACUAGUCGAGUGACACUGCGCCGAAAAUGUACCGGGGCUAAACAUAUUACCGAAGCUGUGGAUUGUCCUUUGGACAAUGGUAGGAGAGCGUUCUAAGGGUGUUGAAGCAUGAUCGUAAGGACAUGUGGAGCGCUUAGAAGUGAGAAUGCCGGUGUGAGUAGCGAAAGACGGGUGAGAAUCCCGUCCACCGAUUGACUAAGGUUUCCAGAGGAAGGCUCGUCCGCUCUGGGUUAGUCGGGUCCUAAGCUGAGGCCGACAGGCGUAGGCGAUGGAUAACAGGUUGAUAUUCCUGUACCACCUAUAAUCGUUUUAAUCGAUGGGGGGACGCAGUAGGAUAGGCGAAGCGUGCGAUUGGAUUGCACGUCUAAGCAGUAAGGCUGAGUAUUAGGCAAAUCCGGUACUCGUUAAGGCUGAGCUGUGAUGGGGAGAAGACAUUGUGUCUUCGAGUCGUUGAUUUCACACUGCCGAGAAAAGCCUCUAGAUAGAAAAUAGGUGCCCGUACCGCAAACCGACACAGGUAGUCAAGAUGAGAAUUCUAAGGUGAGCGAGCGAACUCUCGUUAAGGAACUCGGCAAAAUGACCCCGUAACUUCGGGAGAAGGGGUGCUCUUUAGGGUUAACGCCCAGAAGAGCCGCAGUGAAUAGGCCCAAGCGACUGUUUAUCAAAAACACAGGUCUCUGCUAAACCGUAAGGUGAUGUAUAGGGGCUGACGCCUGCCCGGUGCUGGAAGGUUAAGAGGAGUGGUUAGCUUCUGCGAAGCUACGAAUCGAAGCCCCAGUAAACGGCGGCCGUAACUAUAACGGUCCUAAGGUAGCGAAAUUCCUUGUCGGGUAAGUUCCGACCCGCACGAAAGGCGUAACGAUUUGGGCACUGUCUCAACGAGAGACUCGGUGAAAUCAUAGUACCUGUGAAGAUGCAGGUUACCCGCGACAGGACGGAAAGACCCCGUGGAGCUUUACUGUAGCCUGAUAUUGAAAUUCGGCACAGCUUGUACAGGAUAGGUAGGAGCCUUUGAAACGUGAGCGCUAGCUUACGUGGAGGCGCUGGUGGGAUACUACCCUAGCU
rnacentral:rRNA from 1 species